GAAGCGGGGGGGGGACGUCGGAUAGCGUAUAUUAACGUUGUUGCAGUUAAAAAGCUCGUAGUUGAAGUGUGGGUGAUCGCUAUUGUGAGACUUCGGUCUCUCGAUAGUAAGUCACCCCCUUCCAGUAUCCAGUAGUGGGUAUUCACUUACUUACUAUUGUGUGUUGGUCCUUUACUGUGAGAAAAUUAGAGUGUUCAAAGCAGGCGUUUGCUUGAAUAGAUUAGCAUGGAAUAAUAAUUGAAGGCUUUCGUGUUCGAUUUGAUUGGUUUGUUCAUGGAAGCAAGGUUAAAAGGAACAGUUGGGGGUAUUCAUAUUCACUAGUUAGAGGUGAAAUUCUCGGAUUUAUGGAAGAUGAACAAGUGCGAAAGCAUUUACCAAGGAUGUUUUCAUUAAUCAAGAACGAAAG
rnacentral:rRNA from 1 species